CUAAUAGAGACACUUAGUGCUCACCAAAUAUUCCAAGUCUUCUCCUAUAUUUCCAAGUCUUAUAUGCAGUUCAACUGGGAUUAAAUGAUUAAUUUGGCCAAGGGACUAUGACAGGAAGUGACCUGGGCUAUGUUUAAGCCAAAGCACUUAGGAGCUGGUGGGCCACCUCCAUCUCACGUCUCCCCUGCCGCGUAGCCUUGGAGGUGAUGUGUUCCUGAUGGUGCAACCCUGAGCUGUCCCUCCAGUGAGGAAAACACCAGAACUCAGCACCAGGAACCCGUGGCCCUUGCCUGAUUCCGAUUUCACCACCUGAUUGGGGUCUGCCUCCCUCCCAAGACUGCGAGCUCCAAGGACAAGGAGUUGGCCGAGGUUGGUCACCCUUGUUUCCCGAGCACAUACUACAGUAGACACUCCGUUGAACCGGGGGCCUUGGUCGGACUGCUCUGAGAGCAUCUCAAAGCACUGGCAGCCACGGGCCAAGACCGGGGUCACCAGAAGGGAGCUCCACUUGGACUCUGAGUUUCCUGGGGUUGCCGCGACAACAGACCACACACUGGGUGGACACCAUGGAACACAUCUUCAUACAGCCCAGCCAUGCUUCAAGCACUGAAGAGUCACAGAGGCUGCAGGUUACCAACGGACAACACGACUCUAUAAUUUAGAAAAUUUAUGUCUUCUAAAACCCCAACCCCCAGAUACAGCCACUCUUAACAGCUAAGGGCACAGUCUUGCAGAUGUCGCCUAUAAAAAUACAGAGAUGUAUGUAUUUGUGAAUUAAUCAAGAAUCUUUCAGUUGCAGGUGAGAAACAAUCACCUUAAACCAGCUUGGGGGAAGAAAAAAAGGUUGGGAAGCAUCUUUGACUCGUAAUUCAAAAGCCUGGGAUGUAUAAAAAUAAAAUGAAUGAA